AAAUUGAAGAGUUUGAUCAUGGCUCAGAUUGAACGCUGGCGGCAGGCCUAACACAUGCAAGUCGAACGGUAACAGGAAGCAGCUUGCUGCUUUGCUGACGAGUGGCGGACGGGUGAGUAAUGUCUGGGAAACUGCCUGAUGGAGGGGGAUAACUACUGGAAACGGUAGCUAAUACCGCAUAACGUCGCAAGACCAAAGAGGGGGACCUUCGGGCCUCUUGCCAUCGGAUGUGCCCAGAUGGGAUUAGCUAGUAGGUGGGGUAACGGCUCAC
rnacentral:rRNA from 1 species